GUUUGCUGUAAUAUCCCGUCAUCAGCAUCUACCUUACAAGAAGUACUAAUUGACCCAGUUGCUAGACUUCCAAGUUUCCCUACAGGGUCUUAUCCACAUGAACCACACGUGCCAGCAAAUAUUCAGAUGGAGUUCAUUGAUGCAAUCAUGUCAGCAUUGCCAUCAUCUUCAUCAUCCUCAACACUAUCAGCAUUUUCAAGCGACAAAUUUGGUGCAAACCCUAAUAAUA
rnacentral:misc_RNA from 1 species